rnacentral:rRNA from 1 species
GACGAACGCUGGCGGCGCGCCUAACACAUGCAAGUCGAACGAGCGAGAGAGACCUUGCUGUCUUGAGCGAGUGGCGAACGGGUGAGUAACGCGUGAGGAACCUGCCUCAGAGAGGGGGACAACAGUUGGAAACGACUGCUAAUACCGCAUAAGCCCACGGGCCCGCAUGUCACGGAGGGAAAAGGAGCACUCGGGUUUGGGAUGGCGUCGCGUCCGAUUAGCUUGGUGGUGUGGUAACUGCCCAACAAGGCGACGGGCGGUAGCCGGGCGGGGGGGUUGAACCGUCACAUUGGGGCUGAGGCACGGCCUAGUAUCCUACGGGGGGGAGGAGUGGGGAAUAUUGCACGAUGGAGGAAAACGUGAUGCAGCGGCGCCGGGGGGAGGGAGAAGGUGUUCGGAUUGUAAACUCCUGUUGUUGGGGAAGAUAAUGACGGUACCCAACAAGGAAGUGACGGCUAACUACGUG